rnacentral:rRNA from 1 species
AACGAACGCUGGCGGCAUGCCUAACACAUGCAAGUCGAACGAGACCUUCGGGUCUAGUGGCGCACGGGUGCGUAACGCGUGGGAAUCUGCCCUUGGGUUCGGAAUAACUCAGAGAAAUUUGAGCUAAUACUGGAUGAUGACGAAAGGCCAAAGAUUUAUCGCCCAGGGAUGAGCCCGCGUAAGAUUAGCUUGUUGGUGGGGUAAUGGCCUACCAAGGCGACGAUCUUUAGCUGGUCUGAGAGGAUGAUCAGCCACACUGGGACUGAGACACGGCCCAGACUCCUACGGGAGGCAGCAGUGGGGAAUAUUGGACAAUGGGCGAAAGCCUGAUCCAGCAAUGCCGCGUGAGUGAUGAAGGCCUUAGGGUUGUAAAGCUCUUUUACCAGGGAUGAUAAUGACAGUACCUGGAGAAUAAGCUCCGGCUAACUCCGUGCCAGCAGCCGCCGUAA